GGGGCGGGAGGUUGGGGGGGGGCAGGCACUCUGCUGGCCCUUGCAACUGCCUUGAUCACCUGUAACUAUCCAGGGUUUUCAGGCUGGCUUGGGGUAACACCGCCCGGCCCCAUCAAAGAAAUGCAGCGUGAACAGUCCCACACCUCUUGGCUCCUGUCUCUCAAGGAACAUGCAAGUGAAUCUAAUUAAUGACCUUCAGUAUCUUCUGUGCUUUUUUAUUAUCCCAUCCACAGUUCCUGGAGCCUUCCGGUCACUUACAAUUCAAACAAAAGAAACACCAAAAAGCUAGCUCGUGUGUCAUGGGCUCCUUUUCUCUGUCUCGGCACCAGAAGGUUCUAGAAACCGUUUGCAGACUCUCCUCAGGGACUCAGAAGUCAUCAAGUGCCGUCGCCGAGCACUUCUCAAACGGUCCCGUACGCACACGCACACACACAAACACACACGCCAGGAGAGUCUUGUUAACAAGCCCGUGGUCCUGCGUUUCCAGCAUGCUCACGGGACCCUAAUGCUGCUGAUCUGGAGACCUCGCUUUGAGCAGCGAGACUGCGGGUGGCGUCUGAACCUGACGGUCCGUGGGCUAUUGUUCCGUAUAGGAUGCCGGGACGGCUGGGUAGCCAUCCAGAAAAAGUAACGUCAGACUUACACUCCCAAUUCCUGUACUAGGACGGAUACGAAGAAGUGUGAUCUGUGCUCGAGGUGGAAAUGCAAAAUGAUGAACAAUUGAAAGGACAACGGGCAAAGAAUAGAGACACUCAGUAACUUGACCAAACUCACAAGAAGCCGGUGCGUGAACCGGAAUGAGAAACCAUUAAUUUGCAAUGGGAAAUACUCCUUUGCGAUGACAGAACACGCAUGUCUGCCAUCCAGGCACCUCGCUGCACAGAUCAAGAUGCCCGUGACGUUCCGUGAGGGAGCCCGGUGGGGCGCCUGGCUGGCUCCUUCAGAAGAGCAUGGGACUCUCGAUGAUCUCAGGGUCGUGAGUUCAGACCCCAUGUUGGGCAUGGAGCCUACUUUAAAUAAAUAAAUAAAUAAAUAAAUAAAUAAAUAAAUA
rnacentral:lncRNA from 1 species